GGGACCCAUGUUCCCAUCUUCCAAAGCCCCCAGAAAAGAGCCAGCCUAUGGCAGGUCCUGCCUUCCAACUAUCAAAGUCUGCCACUGUGGCCAUGUCUGCCUCCUACUUCAAGUGGCAGGCUUAUCAGUGCCACUGAGCAACUUGAAACCAGCCUGAAGAGCCUGAAGUGCCAUGUUCCGCUAGUGUCCCUCUCUUUACAGUAGGACUAAAACCCUCACCACCGAGCCCAUUUGGGAACUCCCCUUAGGGCUUCCAGGCCACAUCUCCCUCUUCCAGCAGAUCUGUCACAGCUCACAGUGCUGGCUUCCCACAAGUCAGCAUCUGGUUCAAUAGUGCCCCCUACUGUCCCUGCCACCUCCAGAGAGAAGGGCGUGGUAAUAGCCAGAGCUUUACACUUAGAGCAGAACUUUGAACAGGUGACCCAACUCUGCCCAACUUCAGAGUCGUUUCUGUGAACUGCACAGUGGUACCCAGCUCACGGAAGAUACAGCGCUGAGCACAGCCUCACGCCCAGUGAGUGCUGGAUAGAGGUUGAUGGGCUCCCCUUUCUCCUGUUAGCCUCUCAUCACCAUGCUCCGGGAUCAAGCCUUUCUACACAAUGAUGUCACCUAGUAUGACAGAUCUCUCUUUUGAACAAAGAAUCCCAGGACUGUACCUCUAAAUUUCAACCACAGAUCAUGUUUCUGCACAUAUUUUUGUUUAAUAUAUUUAGUAUUUUUUCUGAACGGACUUUAUGCUUCUGUGGGUCUACAAACAAAGCUUCCAAUGUAAAGAACAAGAUAUCCUUAUUAAAAUACAGUGUAAAAGUCAAA
rnacentral:lncRNA from 1 species